CCGGAUCUCAGAUCAAGUAAG
rnacentral:rRNA from 1 species